rnacentral:rRNA from 1 species
GACGAACGCUGGCGGCGUGCUUAACACAUGCAAGUCGAACGGAAAGGCCCUUCGGGGUACUCGAGUGGCGAACGGGUGAGUAACACGUGGGUGAUCUGCUCUGCACUUUGUGAUAAGCCUGGGAAACUGGGACUAAUACCGAAUAGGACCACGCGCUUCAUGGUGUGUGGUGGAAAGCUUUUGCGGCGUGGGAUGGGCCCGCGGCCUAUCAGCUUGCUGGUGGGGUAAUGGCCUACCAAGGCGACGACGGGUAGCCGGCCUGAGAGCGUGACCGGCCACACUGGGACUGAGAUACGGCCCAGACUCCUACGUGAGGCAGCAGUGGGGAAUACGGCACAACGGGCGCAAGCCUGAUGCAGCGACGCCGCGUGAGGGAUGACGGCCUUCGGGUUGUAAACCUCUUUCACCAGGGACGAAGCGUAAGUGACGGUACCUGGAGAAGAAGCACCGGCCAACUACGUG